AAUAUAUAAAAAAAAAAAAAUGUGUGAAUAAUCUAUUGCCUAAAGAUAUAAUUUCUAAUGAAUUUUAGAACGAAAAUGUUGUUUUUCUUUUAAUGAAGCCCCAUAAGUAUUGUGUUAAUUACUUGAGCACAAAAGAAGGUUUGAUGAUAUUCUGGAUAAUGAGUGAACAUCAAUGUGGUAAAGGAAUUUGGGAGAGUUCAUUUAUUUGGUAAUUUAGAGGAUAGAUGAACAACUAUUAACUUGCAUGUGAAUUUUAUAAAUCUUAAUAUAACGCUUUAAUUGCUAGAGGGCUAGCAAUAAGCUGGUUGGGGGGUGUGAUUAGUAUUAAAAAUUGUUUAAUUAUCAAGCGAUAAUAUGUUAUUUUAUGCUUAUGUUAUAAUUUAUAUUUGUGUUUAUGUAAUAUACUAUGAAUUAUUAAUUAUGUUUUAAAUAUAUUUAAUUUUGUGUAUUUUUAUGUGUUUAUUAGGAAAAUUAUUAAUUUCACGUACUUCGAGGCUCCAAACAGAUAAACGGAGGUCAAAUUUGGAUUCCGGAGGUCCGAAAACCUUAAGAUCAGUCAAGAUCGGCUUAAAAUUGGGCUUGUGUAAAAAAAAGUUGACUUUUCCUGUUGACCGAGCACUGAUUGGAUGAUGAAAUGAGCUUACAAUAGAUAUGAGUGCAUGGGAUAACUGGCAAUCUUGACCAAAUCUCAACCGUUCAUGAUUCAAUGGCCAUGAUUGUGCCACGUGGCAAUGGUUGGUGAAGCAAGUUGG
rnacentral:lncRNA from 1 species